GAUGGACCCGCGGUGCAUUAGCUAGUUGGUGAGGUAACGGCUCACCAAGGCAACGAUGCAUAGCCGACCUGAGAGGGUGAUCGGCCACACUGGGACUGAGACACGGCCCAGACUCCUACGGGAGGCAGCAGUAGGGAAUCUUCGGCAAUGGACGAAAGUCUGACCGAGCAACGCCGCGUGAGUGAAGAAGGUUUUCGGAUCGUAGAACUCUGUUGUUGGAGAAGAACAAGGAUGAGAGUAAAACGUUCAUCCCUUGACGGUAUCUAACCAGAAAGCCACGGCUAACUACGUGCCAGCAGCCGCGGUAAUACGUAGGUGGCAAGCGUUGUCCGGAUUUAUUGGGCGUAAAGCGAGCGCAGGCGGUUUCUUAAGUCUGAUGUGAAAGCCCCCGGCUCAACCGGGGAGGGUCAUUGGAAACUGGGAGACUUGAGUGCAGAAGAGGAGAAUGGAAUUCCAUGUGUAGCGGUGAAAUGCGUAGAUAUAUGGAGGAACACCAGUGGCGAAGGCGGCUCUCUGGUCUGUAACUGACGCUGAGGCUCGAAAGCGUGGGGAGCGAACAGGAUUAGAUACCCUGGUAGUCCACGCC
rnacentral:rRNA from 1 species